UACGUAGGGUGCAGGCGUUAAUCGGAAUUACUGGGCGUAAAGCGUGCGCAGGCGGUUUGCUAAGACAGGUGUGAAAUCCCCGGGCUUAACCUGGGAACUGCGCUUGUAACUGGCAAGCUAGAGUGUGGCAGAGGGGGGUGGAAUUCCACGUGUAGCAGUGAAAUGCGUAGAGAUGUGGAGGAACACCGAUGGCGAAGGCAGCCCCCUGGGCCAACACUGACGCUCAGGCACGAAAGCGUGGGGAGCAAACAGG
rnacentral:rRNA from 1 species